GCGGUUGUGACCGAGAGGCUAGGUAGCGGCCUGCAAAGCCGCCGACGCGGGUUCGACUCCCGCCGACCGCU
rnacentral:tRNA from 1 species